CUCUAAGAAACUAAAAGGCGAAGCCUCAACAGUCGUCGCUCUGCAACUCAAGCUAUAUGGUUGUUCUCCCCUGGGCUCUUCUUCACGAGGCAUCUCCCGACUUCACGAGAAGUUUGUUGCAGGCGUGAAUGGAGGUCGUGUUUGCCCUGUUCAUGGUGGGGCUCGCAGUUCACCCCUCCUGGCAUCAUCAGAGCAGAGGUUCCCUUUAAGAGGCGAUCCAAUUUGUAUUCCAAUCUUAGCUCGAAAUGAGUUCAGCUGGACUUGUGAUUUGUUGAAAGGUAGAAGGAAAUAUUAUGCAUAUCAAGAAAGCACUUGCAAGCCAUCCAUCAGCAACAGAGUUUCGAUGGAGGAUAAAUCACUUCAAUUGCUCCUUGGAAUGGUUCAAAGGGAUCUUUGAUGGCUUUCUCUUGAAACAAGGAAGGAUUUAUUCCAUUGCACAGCAUACAACUUCACAGACAUGCUGUGCAGGUUAAGUGUGGUACAUAUAUGUGCAGUGAAAACAUCACAUAUAUAUGCUAUCUUAUAACAAGUUGUUUGAGUUAGAAUUUUAUAUCUGAUUUUGAGUAUUCAUACUGCUGCUGCUUAACUUGUUUUUUUAGAUACUUCAACUUCUUUUGGUCAAUGACAAUGGAAGCACAAGAAGUUACAUCUGCAAGCAUAAUUUGGUUUAAAAAGUUGUUUUAAAGUUUUAAUAUUUGGAAAGCUAAAUGCUAUUUUAUGUAUGAUUACUUGUCAAAUUCUAUGGUUUAAGUAGAAAUGAGAAAUUUUGAUAAAUGAUAUGUUAUGAAUGUGUGUUGGAUGUAUUAAGCAUGUUUGGCAUAAUCAUUGUGAAAGGGUAGGAGUUCACCUUAGCGUGUUAUUAAGACAUUGUUUGGAAAUUCAUAUGAUACACUGGCAUCGUGGAGGCCCGGUACUUAAUAUUAUAUUGUUUAGAAGUUUUAGUACUACAAGUAGUAGCUUAGGCAUCGACACCAGUAGUAAUUAUAGACAAGAGGAACAUGUGUGGUACAUAAUAGGUGAAGGUGCUCUUUGUCGAGCUGCCUCCUACUAAUGGUGAGCUUGGACUAAUCCAGUCGUAUAGACUUGGUCCUAUCGAAUUGUCAGCCCACAGAUUUAGUCAGAAGACAUAAAGAGGGUAUAUGAUGGUAUGUUGAUUAUGCAUAUCAUUCUAUAACCAUAUGUGUAGAUUUAUGAGACAUGUUAUAUAAUUUACCAUGCCACUUCAUAUACACACAAAUUGUUCUCACACACAAGUAGUUAAUUAGACUAUUUGGUUAUUGAGUUAUUGACUCACCCUGUGGUUACAUUUUAUAGAUGAAAGCUCUGAUAGGAGUAAGGAAAAGAAAGGUGCAACCAAGCAUUGAGGAGACUAGCUCUCAGUUGUAUAGUCCUUUCAUUUAUUUUUGGUUUGUCAUCAAGGAUACUUCGAGAGAUAGGUGUUUGAAUCCAAAAUCUGUGGUGUCAUUGAGAAAACGCAGAAACUGAAUUGGAAAGGAAAAGAAAGAAAACGCAAGAGAGGGAGAGAGGAAGAAGAGAAGAGAAAGAGAGGGAGUUAGACUUGGAUCCAAGAGUCUUUGCGAUCGUUGCAAGUUCAGUUACACGAUAGGAAUUGUUGGUGGAAUUUGUUCAGAAGUUAAGGAACAAGCGGAGCCCUAUUUUGUACAAGGGGAACCCUUUUGGUACCAAAGGGUUGAGGUCCAGGCGAAGGAUCCAGUGGUGGACGGGAAAGGAGCAAAGCUAGGGGUUUGCUUGUGAUUUAUAAAGAACUGCAACCCCUUUCUUUUGAUCAAAUAUAUUGUAAUGUAUUUAGGAUUAGGGUGCCAGUAUGAUAUGAUUAUAUAUGUGUGUGUGAAUAUGUGUGGAUUGUGUGCUUGUGUAUGAAUUUUUGUUUGUUUGUAGACUUGUGGCUAGGAAACUUGGUUAUGAUGUGUGGUUUUGAUGGAUUUACUUAGUAGGCCAA